rnacentral:rRNA from 1 species
UAAGUAAUUCACCAAAGUGCACAUAGAGGAUGUCUUGGUAGAUAUAGCUGAUGAAGGACGUAGUAGUCUGCGAUAAGCGUCGGGGAGCUGACAACAAGCUUUGAUCCGGCGAUUUCCGAAUGGGGAAACCCAAUGUCGUGAACCGACAUUAUGUCGCUUCACUUUAAAUUCAAAGCUCAAAGUUCAAAACUCAAAACGGAUAUUUUGAUUUUGGAUUUAGAGUUUGUAAUUUUGAGUUUGAAGCGAAGCGACAGAGGCACCCGGCGAACUGAAACAUCUUAGUAGCCGGAGGAAAAGAAAGUAGUAACGAUUCCCCCAGUAGCGGCGAGCGAAUAGGGAAAAGCCCAAACUCGUGUGUCUCAUCUUGGGCGUAAGUAAGUAACAGGCGAUUCUUUAAAAUUAAUGGAUCUAGCCUUUUGAAAAUUUGUUUUUGCUUGCGUCCAACAUGAGAUGCGCGAGGGUUAUAGGGCAGUAUCAGAUUGUAAAAUCGAACGAGUUCAAAAAGUAGUAGAAGAAGGAUCUUGGAAAAGACCACCAUAGGGGGUGAUAGUCCCGUAUUUUAAACUACUUUACCGUUUGGAUACUGAUCCUGAGUACGGCUGGACACGUGUAAUCCAGUCGGAAGGUACGGUGAUCGUGCCGUAAGGCUAAAUACUAUAUCUAACCGAUAGUGAACUAGUACCGUGAGGGAAAGAUGAAAAGUACCCAGAGUAUGGGAGUGAAAUAGUACCUGAAACUAUGUGCAUACAAGGAGUCGGAGUCCGCCAAUUGGCGGAUGACGGCGUGCCUUUUGAAGAAUGAGCCAACGAGUUAAUCUUUGUUGCGAGUGUAAGAUGUUAUGCAUCGAACGCGAAGCGAAAGCGAGUGUUAAUAGCGCGACUGUUAGCAGCAGGGAUUAGACCCGAAACCGGGUGAUCUUGCCAUGAGCAGGCUGAACUCUAGGGAAACCUAGCAGGGAGGGCCGAACCCACCAAUGUAGCAAAAUUGGGGGAUGACUUGUGGUAAGCGGUAAAAUACUAAUCGAACCCGGAGAUAGCUGGUUCUCCUCGAAAUAUAUAUAGGUAUAGCGUAUAUCCGCAUGGUGUGGGGUAGAGCACUGAAAGGAGUUUGGGGGCGCAAGCUCUCACCUCCUAUCAAACUCCGAAUACACACCGUUUGGGAUAUACAGUCAGACUGUGCGGGCUAAGCUGCAUGGUCUAAAGGGAAAGAGCCCAGACCUACAAAUAAGGUCCCUAAAUUCUAGCUAAGUGGAAAACGAAGUGGAAAGGCGUAGACAACUAGGAUGUUGGCUUAGAAGCAGCCAUCAUUUAAAGAAAGCGUAACAGCUCACUAGUCGAUCCUACGAUUCUCUACAAUGUGUCGGCGAAAGCCUUCGCGGCGUAGAAAUCCUCUAGGCCUUUUUGCGCGGAAAAUUCAACGGGGCUUAAGCUAGGUACCGAAUUUUAGGAUUCGCAGAUUUAUCUGCGAGUGGUAGAGGAGCGUUCGUAUUGCAGUGAAGCAGAAGCGUAAGCGACUGUGGAGCGAUACGAAGUGCGAAUGUUGGCAUGAGUAACGAAAACCAGGUGAGAACCCUGGUCACCGCAUAUCUAAGGUUUCCACAGCAACGCCAAUCGUCUGUGGGUUAGUCGGAUCUAAGGGAAUACCCCGAUGUUCAGACGGUUAAUAUUCCGUCACUACUAAACAACUACCUUAAGAAGACACGGACCCGUGGGUGCUAAGAUUAUUGGAUUUCGAAAGCACCUCAAAGUCUGGCAAGAAAAUUCUUAAGUCAACUAUGUUUAGUAUCCGUACCGCAAACCGACACAGGUAGUUGAGGCGAGUAGCCUCAGGUGGUCGAGUGAACCCUCUUUAAGGAACUCGGCAAAAAAGCGUCCGUAACUUCGGAAUAUGGACUGCCAGUCCCAAUGCUUCGCAUUGGCAAAUUCUAAGCACAAAACACUAAAUUCAAGUUUUGAAUUUAGUACUUGUUAUUUAGGAUUUACUGGUGCGGAGCAGCGGUGCUGGCCGCAGCAAAUGACUUUCAAGCGACUGUUUAACAAAAACUUAGGUCUCUGCAAAUCUCUCACGAGAUGUAUAGGGGCUGAUGCCUGCCCAGUGCUCGUAGGUUACGAGGAGGGCUGACUCCCGCACCUUGCGCACAAGGUGAAAAUUCAAAAUUCGAAACACUAAACUCAAAACGGAUUUGUCUGUUUAGGGUUUAGAACUUAGGAUUUAGGAUUUAGCACUUUGUGUUCAAAGUGCGGGACGAGGCUCGAAUUUAAGCCCGAGUGAACGGCAGCGGUAACUAUAACCGUUCUAUGGUAGCGAAAUUCCUUGUCGCAUAAGUAGCGACCCGCACGAAUGGCAUAACGACUUGAAAACUGUCUCAAAGAGGGACUCGGUGAAAUUACACUGCCGGUGAAGAUGCCGGCUACUUGCAGCAAGACGGAAAGACCCCGUGGAGCUUUACUACAGUUUGAUAUUGUUUCAGGGCACAUGAUGUGUAGCAUAGGUGGGAGUCUUCGGACAACAGUGAAAUACCACCCUUCGUUUGUUUUGAGACUCACUAGUUGCAAAAACAACUAAGACAGUGUCAGAUGGGUAGUUUGACUGGGGCGGUCGCCUUGACCAUGAUCACCAGUAUAAUAACGAUCAGAAAGGGGCAUCUUGGCUAUAUGCUGGGACCUCUCUAAAAUUCCAACGAGUAAUCGGUUGGACUAUGGAGACAAUCAGCAGGGAAGUCGUUCAGAAAUGAAUUGACCCCUCAACGACUACACGCCGAGCGCUAGAAAAUAGUAUUUACAAAUUCUAGCGAAGAUAUAGUCUGAACUGUAUGGCGACAUACAGAGUCUUGUCUUUGUACAAGACGCUUAAAUAGGUAUGAAUACCGCAGAAAUUCAUGAUAUUUCAAAAUCUGUUAAUCUAACGCCCCGUCAAAUAGAAAUAAUUGUCGGACUAAUGUUGGGUGACGGACAUUUAGAAACUCAGAAUAACGGCAGAACAUAUCGUUUGAAAGUUGAGCAAUCGUUCGCUCACAAAGAGUAUGUGGAAUGGAUUUACUCCGAACUACAUAAUCUUGUAAGGACGAAACCAAAAGCAAAAGAAAAGCAUAGGAAUGGUAAGCAAAGUAGAAACUACUACUUUAAUACCUUGGGCCUUGAGUCUUUGUCGCCGUAUGGAAAGCUCUUCUAUCGAGAAGGAAAAAAGAUAAUUCCAGGAACAAUUUCACGAUUUGUCACGCAAUUAUCAUUAGCGGUUUGGUUUAUGGAUGAUGGGUCAUCCAAGUCAGCUAAACAUCGCGCAAAAAUACUAAAUACUCAAGCAUUUGAUGUUCAAAGUGUUAGUUAUUUGCAAGAUUUGUUGAAGAACCAAUUCGUAAUUACGACGACGCUUCGGAGGCAGUUAGACGGGUACCAGAUCUAUAUUCCCGCCAGUCAAAUUGAGAAAUUUACCUUAUUGGUGUCAAACCAUAUAAUUCCCUCGAUGAAAUACAAACUAAGUUAACAAAAUUGCCUAAAAGGUAACGGAGGCGUGCAAAGGUUCGCUAGGUACGGGUGGAAAUCGUACCGAUAGGGUAUACCCAAAAGCGAGCUUGACUGUGAGGCCUACAAGCCGAGCAGGUGCGAAAGCAGGCGUAAGUGAUCCAGCCGGUUUCAGUACGAGACGGCCGGCGCUCAACGGAUAAAAGCUACCCCGGGGAUAACAGGCUGAUUGCGCCCAAUCGUCCACAGAGACGGCGCAGUUUGGCACCUCGAUGUCGGCUCAUCCUAUCCUGGGGCUGGAGAAGGUCCCAAGGGUUUGGCUGUUCGCCAAUUAAAAGGGUACGCGAGCUGGGUUCAGAACGUCGCGAGACAGUUCGGUCCUCAUCUGCUGUAAGCGCGGAAGAUUGAGGGAGGCGGCUCCUAGUAUGAGAAGACCGGAGCGGAUGAUCCGCUGGUGUAUCGGCUGUCCUGCCAAGGGCACUGUCGAGUAGCUACGAUCAUAACUGAUAACCGCUGAAAGCAUCUAAGCGGGAAGCAGGUCCCAAGAUUAAUCUUCGUUAUGAGACCCCCGGAAGACUACCGGGUUGAAAGGUCCUAGGUGUAAGCGCGGUAACGCGUUGAGCCAAGGGAUACUUAUAGGUCCAUGAAUUACUUU